rnacentral:RNase_P_RNA from 1 species
UGAGUCGGCCGGGCGGCCGCGUACCGGCACGACCGGUCCGAGGAACGUCCGGACUCCGUAGGGCACGGUGCUGGGUAACGCCCAGUCGAGGCGACUCGCAGGAAAGUGCCACAGAGAAGAACCGCCGAUGGCGGGGCGACCCGCACAGGCAAGGGUGAAACGGUGCGGUAAGAGCGCACCAGCACCCGGGGCGACCCGGGUGGCUCGGCAAACCCCACCGGGAGCAAGGUCAGACAGGGGGAGUGCGGCCCGCACGCAGACACCCCCGGGUGGACCGCUGGAGCCGGCGGGCAACCGUCGGCCGAGAGGGAUGGCCGCCACCGGACCGCACGGUCCGGCACAGAAUCCGGCGUACAGGCCGACUCACCAC